GGUCUGUCAUCUUUACCAAAAUGGUUUUACUUCAUCUGACAUCCAUACUUAUACUCCGACUUCGUAGCCGGACUUCUUUGAUCCUGUCUUGUGUCUUCAUUCACAACAUCUAGGUCUCUCUCAUACUGUCACCAUCAUAUCUUCUGUCAAAAACAUCAAAAAAGAAAAACAAAGAAAGACAUGCUAGUCCCAAGUUUUGGAGAUUAUAAGUUAAGGAAUCCUAAACAAUGAAAAGAAAGUAACCAUCAUUUCAUUGUCCAAUUUAUUUCAAAUCCUUAUGAUAUACGCCUUCACCCUCAAAAUGCAGACGGUGCUGCUCGAGUUUGAAUAAGGUAAAGAGCAACGCGGAGAUGGCAAAAGUUAGAGCUCCGAAGUAUGCUAUUAAUAUCCUUUCCUUCACUUCUUUUUAUGGUAAAACAAACAAACUAUAACAAAGUAAAAGCAGCUAUUAUAUUUGGGGGCAUAAGAAAGAGUCCAUAACCGUUUUUUUGUCUUUCCACCUCCUCAAAGCUGCCACGAUUAUG